AUGUGAGACGGAAUUACAGUCAAACUGGCCAAAGCUAACAGUGUUCUCAUGUGAUGCUCUUGCAUUCGGGCAUAUAAAUAUAGUGUUUUUACAUAUUAAAUGACACUUGCACAUCGUAUGACAGAGACGUAGUUGUAUAGAAAUACAUAUGCAUGCAUGUAUGCAUUAUAAAUGGGCAUAAGCACAUACUGGCAUAGGUUUUUUUUGGUCAAGGUGUUGGCAAUACGAUCGUGGGAGGAGCCAUGCGACCGGAGGGCGGGGCUUGUAUGGAUUCACCUUGGGUUCAGGAAUAUGCGCAGGUUGGCGUUUUUUAUGCCAAAAACGUCUUUUUUGGCAUUUUUUUAUGUGUUUGGCAGAAAAAUCUGCUGGUUGGCAUUUUUUCAGAAAUUGGCAUUUUUCUUGGCGUAUUUUUAUUGAUAAAUCAUUGCUUUAAAAAGACUUAUCGGUAACACGAUUAUUUAUAGAAUGAGAUGGGAACUCUGAUUCAAGGAGCAUUUAAUUCAGCUACCCAAACUUUAGUACCCCUUUAAAAAGUCAAUUUUCUUUCACUCCUGAGGGUGGCUCGCGGGGGCCCGGGUAACUUUGUAAACAUUGGCCAGCUGACGCAGGUACCGGGUGUAGUAGGAGUCGUCUCAUAACAAGAGGUGAGGCUGCCCUAUAAUGAAUGACCGGCUGACGGAGUGACGGUCGGCCUGUCUCACAAGAUGGUGAUUUAUUACAGUAUUGGAAAUUAAUGAUGAUGGACAUGCUUUUGGUAUUCAUUGAAUGUGAUAUUAUUUUGUAUUAUUGAUUUAGUCGCUAUAUGCCACGUUAAAGAGAAAUAAAUAAAGUAAUAUAUUUGAUUGUAUGUGUUAAUAUCUUUUUCCUUUUAUUAAAUUACAAAGAGCAGCUACAUAUGUUUUAAAGGGUGGUGGUUUGUUGAAUUAUUGGAAUUCACUGAUGAUAGGCAUGAAUGAUAUGCAUUUUGACAUUGAUUGUA